rnacentral:misc_RNA from 1 species
CCGCUCCUUGUCAAAACAACUUUGCAGAUCCUUACGCGCGACGCUCCUCUGAAGCAGACGCAGAAAUAUCGGGGCAACACGCUUUUAACACUGCGAUUCAAGAUGAACAUAGCCCUGGUAACACUCUUAUUCAUCGCAGUGACCAUAACGAGAUCUUCGCCAUCGUCGCAUCUUCUUUUGUGUUUCUGAAAAAGAAAACAACACUCGCAGCACUUCAGGAACAUCGCUUCCGAACUGCGCUGCGAUCACGUGCAAUCCUGACACUUGCCCACAAUGGCAGUGCAACUGUGGGGCCUACAAGGACACCUGCGGUUGCUGUGACAUCUGCUUCAAGUGUCCCGGCGCCGAGUGCAACAAAUGGAUCCUCGACGCUUGCACCAACGACCACGAAUGCGUCCUGGACGACCCUGCCAAGUCGUUCGCAACCGGCGGAGUGGGCCACUGCAGACCUAUCAACGCCACGGAUGCCUCACAUACUUCUUAAUAGUGCGCACUUAGUCUUGAGAUAUUUCCUCAAUACAGAACUAAAAAUGUUCUCAACAGGAC